CACUCGGCCGCUCUCACCUCUCAGUGAGCACCCGACUGGCAGCUCUCAUCGCUUCCCCGGGAGCCCGAGUCCGGGCCCGCUCCUAGGGCGCGGGCGGAAGGAGCUGAGGCCUCCCUUUACCCUGCGGGUCUUGGCCCCCAGUUCCCCCACGGGGUGGGGGUGGGGGGUCGAGGGAUUAGCCCCUCCCGCCUGGCGGCAGCCAAAGGCGGAAGAGCGCGAGCCCGGGGCGGAGCUCCUUGAGCGGGGCGGGGCGGGCGGAGUGCCUCGGCGGCGGGGCCCGGCGGGAACAAACAGCCGCCGCCGCGGGAGCGCGGCUCGGGUGGCCGGAGGCGGGUCCUUCUCUUCCCCGCAGACUCCUCAAACUUUCAGUUCCCAGGAGCCGCUGCCCUCAGUGCGCUCAGCCCUGGAUGUUAAGGUUCACGGGGACGCCAGCAGGAGCCCGGAGCAGUAGCGAGAGUCCCCACCCAUUAUCUCCCCAAGGCAGUGCCCGGGCCACCAAGGCCGAAGCGCAGUUGGGGCGCCAGCGGAGCCUGAGAAGCCGGGACCGACGCCGCCGGAGUGGGGCCUGCCGGAGCCGGAGUGGCUUCCGGACCAAGAGGAGACGCACUUGAGUGAUCGCGAGGAGCAAACUUGGCGUUCUCAGCCUCGGUCUUCGGAGAGAUCUUCGCCUGCUCAAGAGCGAUCGGCUCCGUUGGCCCCGGGUGGGAGGAGGGAGACUCCAGAUCUUGUGACCUGCAGGAGCGAUGCGGCGGGGCUCCCCACACGCGGGAGCAGGACUCGGGGUUAAGAGUUCAGGGAGACGCUGGCCUCUCUGCAAGCACAGAAAUGGCAGGGCCUCCGGUGCGUCCACUUUCAACUUGAGCCCACCUGCCCAGCCCAGGCACCGGCUCAGGGGUCAGCGCCUCUACACCUCGGGUAACUUACACCUCUCGGAGGAAAUGUCUUUCUCCCCUUCCCGUGUGCAUGGCCACUGCCCCAGGGCUACGUGGUGGGGACUCGCAGGAGCACCCUCGAGCGCCUUCACUGCGCAGUGGCCGGACCAGGGCGCUGCGAAGCCUGUGCACUCUUGUUCGUUCGCGGGAAGAGGGUUGCAGGUUCAGGAGAAGGUGGAAAUAGUUCCGCUCCCACAAGCACCCGACCUGGGACGCCGGCUUUCUCAGCAACUGCGGUAAGGCAGGCCCCAUGCGCUUAUGAGAUGUGCCGCUGGGGCAGGGGAGUUGGGGGCGCUUCCAGGUGUGUCGGGACGUGGGCCUCAGGUCUAAAUGCUCUGCUAAGUACGUCCUGGUUCCUGGCCCACGCGAGUGUUUCUGCGCCUCCGGGCCACGGUGGCUGUGUGCCCGAGUACGUCCCUGAGCGACCGGCGCCCUUGCGGGGUCCUCCCCUCCCGACCGCACAUCUGUGCAGGGGACAGCCCUGGAAGGCUCGCCAGCCAGGACCACAGCUUCACCUCACGGCCUGAUAGGGCGCGACCUGUUCGGGGAUUCCAGACCCGCUCCGGGCCGCGGCGUGACCCCGGCGGGGAAGGAGGAUGUGAGUGUGUGAGCCUGGGCAGAGGACUGCGCCGUGGCGUGAGAGGGAGGAGGGGUUACAGGAGCCUCUUGUGGAGAAGCUGGAAAGACUAACGGCGCUGCCUCCUUCCUACCAAUUCCGCGCAGCUUGCUGGGGCAGCAGUGCCUCAGGAACGGGACGGCCUUUCACAGCCCUAAAUUGGAGCCAGAGGUGCAGAACCGUGUGAACCUGGUCCCCUACGGUACACAUACGCGCGCGCGCGCGCGCGCGCGCGCGCAUUUAGCCUUUCGGAGCCCCAGGCAGGGUAACUGGUGAGGCCAUAAGUCCCCGCUCAGGCGAGGAAACACUGCCAUCGCCUGAGCCCUCUGCAGCUGCUGCGGAGCCGCGUAAGCCCCACCAAAGUGGAGCGAGGGGACCACGGGAGUCCCGUCCCUGCCGCGAAGACGCUGGUGACGGAUUCUUGGGAAACAGCGACCCCUGGAGGAGCCGCGAAACCACACGAAGAGGCAGGAACGGGAUGACUAGGUUGGGGACCAAAGUGUCCCUUCCCCAACCCACUCCUUUGAAAAUAAUCCUGAGACUCAUUACCUCAGGAUUCCCCUUUGUGCAUACUUGCUUCCUUUCCCAGUCCGUACCCAGGCCUCAAAUCCUGGCUUAGAAUCCCGACUCCUCCAGAAAGGAGCCUUCUUGAAAGCCCAAUUCAUCUUCCCGUCUUCCUACUUUGAGCUCCUCAGAACCUAAAGCCUGAACUCGACUCUAGAGCUAACAGCACUAGCAACCUGCUUUCUGCCUCCCUUUCUCCGAAGAGACCAUUGGUCCAUCCACUCCACCCAUCCUUUGCAUUCCAUGCUGGAUGUGUUCUCCAACCACCUGCAUCCCUGCCACUACCAGUAAAGAAUGAAGUCAUUUAUUCCAAAAUUGGACUGUAGGUUUUCAAAGUUAGUUUCAAAGAUGGGUAAAUUAAGACCCAGACCGAGGACUGACUUCCCCAAGGUCACACAGCAAAUUGAUUGCAGAGGUGGAACUAGAUCCCAGACUCCCAUUUCCCAGCCCAGAGCAUUCUCCCUUUUGCCUGCAUGGCGAGGGGAAAUGCAAGAAGGAACGUGUGUGUCUGUGUGUCUGUGUGUGUGUGUGUUGGGGCAGGGAUGAGGAGUCUGCUCCAGGAUGGGGCAGUAAGGAAGGACGGCAGGGCAAAGUUGCCCCGGGAGGUCAGACUCUUCCUUCCCCCCAGCACUCACCCAAAUCAAGCUACUCUGAAAGGCUCCAAAUUUCAUGGGGUUGGCUGAGUGUUUUAUACUGGGGCUGGGAACAGCUUCAAUUCAGGCAAAUACCACCCUCUCCUCUGCCCUGGAAAGGGAGAGGGAGACUGUUAAUACAUACGCACAGGGUGCAGCUGAGACCUCAGAUCAGCAGGAGCAAGCCACUGGUGCCUGCAGUUAGAAAGUUAGAGGAGAAGCUGGGAGGGUGAUUUGCAUAUAAUUUGUAUGCGGCUCCAGUGAUACAUGUCCAGCAGCCUGAGACCUUCUCAGAGGGGCUUUCCUUCUGCAAGACGUGUGCUUCUUUGCACAGACUACCAGGCAGACUGGCCCCUGCCUCCUUGUCCAGCCUUGUCUCCAACCCUUGUGCUGUAUUCACACCUGAUUUACUUUUUCUUACCUCUUCACCUUUGCAUGCAGUUCACUCCUGCCUGGCUCACUCCUAAUCCUGUGUCCAUUUCAAAUGUCAAGCUCUAUGAGCUGCCUCCCCCAACAGCAUCCCACACUGGUCAGGCUGUGGAGGGGCCCUGCCUCUGGGCAACAAAAGCACUAAUUCCCUCUCUUGUCAUGAUUUGUUUCCUAGUCUGCCACCCUCUGGAGACUGUGAGCUCCUUGAGAACAGGCAUUAUGUUGUCUUCAUCAUCACUGUGCCUCUUCUACAAAGUGAGGAUAAUAGUUGUACCUACCUCACUGAGUGGUUGUGAGAUCAAAUGAGAAUGCAUAUCAGGCACUUAGCCCAGUGCCUGAAACUUUGAAAGAAGCUCAGUAAGUGCUCCCCACCAUGAUAACCAUCAUUAUUAAACACUCUACCUCCUGCCAGGCAUGAAAUCCAACACAUAGUAGGUACUCAAUUAAUGUUAGAUAUGUGGAUACGUGAAUGAAUGAAUGAAUGAAUGAUAUGACUUAUUUCUGACUCUUUCUGGGACUUCCCAGAAAGUUAUCUUACAACAUUCAAUUAGAAAUAUGUGUUCUCUAAGGACAGACAUUAUUUCUCCCCCAUCAGUCCCAUCCCUGAAGGGAGGAGCACAUGUUCCCAUUGGAAAGAGUUUUCCAUGAUCCCUGAUGCCAGCAGUCAUUGGCUUUCUCUUUCAUGCUCUCUGCCUCAGUUUCUUUCUUUUAAAAUGGUUCUGACCAAUCAAACCAGCCAAACCCUUCCAAAAUCUUCAGGGAACUCUCCAUCACUUGUAAGACAAAACUCAAUCUCCUUAGCAUGAUGAGCUGAACAUGCUCAGUCUUGGGAUGUCUCACCUCUUUGUUGGGGAAAACCUCCCCUCCUGUAUUCCAUGUGGUCCUGAUGAGACUGUUUAAUCUCUGCGCCCCUCACACUUACCUCCAGGAGCCGCCAGGCAACCUGGCUGGAUCAAACAUAGCAUUGUGAGUCCAAAGCCAAGUGAUAGGUCUAAGCAGGAGUAAGUGACCUAAGCUGAGCCAAUCACUCCUAUAAGAUUUGAUAUAAGGACUCCGGGGCUCUGGGAGGGUGCUUCUCCUUUUGGGUCAGAAGAUCAGCGCAUAGGUUUCACUGCCAGCAGCCAGCCUUCCUGCCAUGUGGAGAGAGCUGUUGGACAUCAGUGCCCACCCACAGGAAAAAAAAAAAAAACACCCUAAGGAGACAAAGCCUUAGUAACAGUGUCAAGUCCUCUGGCUCUGCCUGAAACUGGAACCCUUAGACUUCCCAGACAUUCUAAAGAUAUUCCCCUUUUUGUUUAAGGUAGGUUGAAUUGAAUUUCUGCUAGUUUGAGUUUAGCUUCACAAACAGCAGAGCCACAGGGGAGAAGGAUCCUGGAUUCCUGAGAUCACAGAGGAGCCGUACCAUCCUGAACUGCCUGCACAGACUUUCAUGUGAAAAGGAAAUAAACUUCAGUCUUGGUUAA